GGUUACGAUCGUACCAGCACUAAUGCACCGGAUCCCAUCAGAACUCCGCAGUUAAGCGAGCUUGGGCGAGAGUAGUACUAGGAUGGGUGACCUCCAGGGAAGUCCUCGUGUUGCACCCC
rfam:Gossypium arboreum cultivar AKA8401 contig_123594_1, whole genome shotgun sequence.